ACGUCCGAGAAAUCGUAACGAUUAAACAGAUUUAAAUAUUUUCCCGGACGAUAUUUAUCGUUCUCAUCCUUCGGGAGGAACUUUCCCAACAUUGCGUACAAGAAACAAUCGUUUAAUUCACCGUUAUUUACAUUGACGACAUUGUUCGUUCGAAACGGAAGCUUAACGUACGUUCCUCCUCGAUGUAACGCGUAAUAGCGGUUGACACGUAGCUCCAUACCCUGGACCUUCUUCAGCACCCAUCCGGAUCCGUUCAUGUGAAAAUCGAAUGACUCUUUAUUGAUCUUGGCCCUGAACUUUUCAUAAUACUCGUCCAGAUCCGUUGACGCGAAAAUAGCUUCGUUUUUAGUCUUAAACUUUUUCAACUGCAUUCCUUCCUUGUCCUUAUCGUCAGCUUUCUCGUACUCGACGUAAACUAGUAUAUUAACCUUAAAUGCCUCGCCGGUGAGUUCUUCUUUAAUUUUUCCAAUCACGAAGUCUUUCGCUGUCAGUAGGUAGUCAUCGAUGAUGAGAAUCUCUGGCUGGAGGUUUGUGAUGAAAAAUGUUUUCAACCUGCUUUGAGAAGCAGUCUCGACUUGAACAAUCGGUACUUUCAUCUCAAACAAAUUUCUUAUGUGACUUGCAGAUUCUUCAUGUUUUUCUCUUUUAUGUUAUGAUAUUUUGCACGUGUCACAAUAUUCUUGAUCGUUGUUCUCAUCGGUAGGUGAUGAGGUGGACAUCUUUUCAAUGUGUUCGGAAGAUUGCUCAUGAUUCUCUCCCUCCGCAUAAAACUCAUCACAAAGAUCACAAUGGAUGAGCGCGUUGUGCUCCUGUUUAAUAUACGUUUCAUCGUUGAUACCCUCCUCCAUCUUAAUUUGUUCCGCGCAGUGUUCGUGCUUUUCACCUUGUAUAUAAAAUUCAUCACAAAUAUCACAUUGGAUGAGCUCCUGUUUAAUAUACGUUUCAUCGUUGAUACCCUCCUCCUUCUUAAUUUGUUCCGCGCACUGUUCGUGCUUUUCACCUUGUUUAUAAAAUUCAUCACAAAUAUCACAUUGGAUGAAAGUUUCAACAUUCUGUUCUUGAGCAGCCAUGAUAAAGACUAUUUUAAGCUCAAAGUCUUCCGAGUCGAUCAGAAAGGGGAAUCUACACUAUCUUUACGUUUGCUAGAUUCUGUUCACUGAAAAGAUUUCAGAGCGAACAAGUGAAUACUAUUAUAAGCUCAAGGCUUUCUGAUUUUGUCACAACAGAAAAU
rnacentral:lncRNA from 1 species